rnacentral:lncRNA from 1 species
UGCUUUUGGCCCAGCCGAGGCAGUCGCCGCUCGCGCCGUCGUGCAGGCUCGCGUUCGCACGCGCUAGCCGCGUGCAGCCUCGCUCCUGCCUGCGCUGCUCCAUGUGCCGCCCCGAGUUCGGCACACGCCCGCCCGAGCCGCCUCCGAAAUAACCACGCAGCUGCUCGUAGCUCAUCCCUCCUUUGUUUUCCUCCUCCUCCAGUCCUCAUCUAUUCCUCUGUAGGCAUUCAAGCGUUAAACUCGUUUCCAUCCCAAAAAUUUCCCCAGCCGCAGCCAAGGCCGACUGUGCAGCUGAUCCGCCGCCGCUGGCCAUCGCUUGUCGUCUCCCCGCGCCACCAGCCUCUUCCAGAGCCGCAACAGCUUCGAGUUCGCAGCACCUGGGAACGAAAUUACCUCAAGACGUUCUUGCUGUUCCGCCACAAUAACCAUCAUCCAGCUUUUCCCUUUUUACCUCUCAUUCUGUCUGUGUUCGUGGUUGACAGAGGAAGAAGAACAGUACUAGAUUCAAUACUGUUCCACCAUGGUUUGGGGUGGACAUGUGGAAGGGGCUUCGGCCAAGUUGACAUGAUCCACAACGGUGGAACCCGUGGAAGCAGCGACCGUCUAGCCUUGCUUAGGCCCAGCAAGUGCCCGACUGCUAGGAUGGAUCAAUAUCCCACUAGGCACUUGCUGGGUACCUCGAUACUCACCUCUUGCAUAAAAUGUGGUUCAGUCAAUCAAUCCUUCCCCGAGGAGGUGCAGGAAGGGGAAGAAUUCUGCGGUGCUGAUGAGUUCAUGUUCUAG